GGGGCUGACUAUAGCUUUCGACGAUCGGACAUUAACAGAUUACUUUGCAAGUCGACCAACACCGUAAGUGUUUAAUUAAUUGUAAAUUCAAUUGCAAAAGUAAAGUCAGUUCUUGCUACGGUAGCUAACGCUUUCAAGGCUCCUGCCUUUGCGCCAGCUUUAGUUUAAUUUCUAAAGCCGCUUACUAGUGCAGGCAACAUACUGCUAGCCAAGUGUCAUAUUUAUGUUGCUGGUUUUGUUUUUGAGCAAAGGCGAAACAAAAUGAGAUUUACCUAAGCGACUUUACUUGUGUUUUGCUAUUUCCAUAGCAAGUCAAAGUCGUAAAAAUUUUAGAAAUAGCUAAGCUUGUAGACGAGUAGUCAGUUACCGAACGGACCCGGGCGCAAUCCCCGGCAGCUCCACCA
rnacentral:tmRNA from 1 species